rnacentral:rRNA from 1 species
ACGGGAGGCAGCAGUGGGGAAUAUUGCACAAUGGGGGAAACCCUGAUGCAGCGACGCCGCGUGAGUGAAGAAGUUAUUCGUAAUGUAAAGCUCUAUCAGCAGGGAAGAAAAUGACGGUACCUGACUAAGAAGCCCCGGCUAACUACGUGCCAGCAGCCGCGGUAAUACGUAGGGGGCAAGCGUUAUCCGGAUUUACUGGGUGUAAAGGGAGUGUAGGCGGCUGCGCAAGUCAGAAGUGAAAGCCCGGGGCUUAACCCCGGGACUGCUUUUGAAACUGCGUAGCUUGAGUGCAGGAGAGGCAAGCGGAAUUCCUAGUGUAGCGGUGAAAUGCGUAGAUAUUAGGAAGAACACCGGUGGCGAAGGCGGCUUGCUGGACUGAGACUGACGCUGAGGCUCGAAAGCGUGGGGAGCAAACAGGCUUAGAUACCCUGGUC